ensembl:snoRNA
UUAGACCCAAUAAAAAGGCAAAGAGCCCUUCCAGAAAGUCCCCCAUUAAAAAGUCGAAUUGCUUAGUGGGAUGCCUGACACCUGCCCCUCACUGUAAGGCAGAUCAACAGCACUGCUGGCCUUGCCUCCGGUUCCCAGCAGCUGGCUGCAGGGGGGCUCACGGGGGGGACCAGAGUGGGUCCAGGCAGGAGCUAUCUGAGUGCAGCCUUGGAUCUGACA